GUCCCCGUGGCCUAAUGGAUAAGGCGUCGCCCUCCGAAGGCGGAGACUGCGGGUUCGAGUCCCGCCGGGGACU
rfam:Aphanomyces astaci strain APO3 cont1.1508, whole genome shotgun sequence.